AUUGAACGCUGGCGGCAGGCCUAACACAUGCAAGUCGAGCGGAUGAGUGGAGCUUGCUCCAUGAUUCAGCGGCGGACGGGUGAGUAAUGCCUAGGAAUCUGCCUGGUAGUGGGGGACAACGUUUCGAAAGGAACGCUAAUACCGCAUACGUCCUACGGGAGAAAGCAGGGGACCUUCGGGCCUUGCGCUAUCAGAUGAGCCUAGGUCGGAUUAGCUAGUAGGUGAGGUAAUGGCUCACCUAGGCGACGAUCCGUAACUGGUCUGAGAGGAUGAUCAGUCACACUGGAACUGAGACACGGUCCAGACUCCUAC
rnacentral:rRNA from 1 species